rnacentral:rRNA from 1 species
GAUGAACGCUGGCGGCGUGCCUAAUACAUGCAAGUCGAGCGAACAGACGAGGAGCUUGCUCCUCUGACGUUAGCGGCGGACGGGUGAGUAACACGUGGAUAACCUACCUAUAAGACUGGGAUAACUUCGGGAAACCGGAGCUAAUACCGGAUAAUAUAUUGAACCGCAUGGUUCAAUAGUGAAAGACGGUUUUGCUGUCACUUAUAGAUGGAUCCGCGCCGCAUUAGCUAGUUGGUAAGGUAACGGCUUACCAAGGCAACGAUGCGUAGCCGACCUGAGAGGGUGAUCGGCCACCCUAGAACUGAGACACGGUCCAGACUCCUAAGGGAGGCAGCCGGAGGGAAUCUUCCGCAAUGGGCGAAAGCUUGACGGAGCAACGCCGCGUGAGUGAUGAAGGUCUUCGGAUCGUAAAACUCUGUUAUUAGGGAAGAACAAAUGUGUAAGUAACUAUGCACGUCUUGACGGUACCUAAUCAGAAAGCCACGGCUAACUACGUG